CUUUAAUAGUUUAAUUUAUAAAACAUUAUAUUUUCAUUAUAAUAAUAAUUUUUAAUUUUAAAGAU
rnacentral:tRNA from 1 species